UACGGAGGGUGCAAGCGUUAAUCGGAAUUACUGGGCGUAAAGCGUGCGUAGGCGGUGAUUUAAGUCAGAUGUGAAAGCCCCGGGCUUAACCUGGGAACGGCAUUUGAUACUGGGUCACUUGAGUGUGGUAGAGGAGAGCGGAAUUUCCGGUGUAGCGGUGAAAUGCGUAGAUAUCGGAAGGAACACCAGUGGCGAAAGCGGCUUCCUGGUCCAGCACCGACGUUCAGGCACGAAAGCGUGGGGAGCAAACAGG
rnacentral:rRNA from 1 species